UUUGACCUACGGGAGGCAGCAGUGGGGAAUAUUGCACAAUGGGGGAAACCCUGAUGCAGCGACGCCGCGUGAGUGAGGAAGUAUUUCGGUAUGUAAAGCUCUAUCAGCAGGGAAGAAAAUGACGGUACCUGACUAAGAAGCCCCGGCUAACUACGUGCCAGCAGCCGCGGUAAUACGUAGGGGGCAAGCGUUAUCCGGAUUUACUGGGUGUAAAGGGAGCGUAGACGGAGGAGCAAGUCAGAUGUGAAAGCCCGGGGCCCAACCCCGGUACUGCAUUUGAAACUGUCCGGCUGGAGUGCAGGAGG
rnacentral:rRNA from 1 species